rnacentral:sRNA from 1 species
AAUAAGUCAAGCCCGAGUGUUUGUUGAAGGACCACUGCCCAGCGUAGAUUUUUACUUUGACAACGCCGCUAUGUCCGAACUGGUCGACCCAAACUGGAAAACUGAUGCAAAUAAUCGAAUUGAAACCAAUCGUAAAAGCAACAUUCAUUUUAACUUUCAUGUUGCUUCUAACUUCAAUGUUAAUGACUUAAAAGUGAAAAUUGAUCUUACCAAACAUUC